rnacentral:rRNA from 1 species
UAAUACGGAGGGUGCGAGCGUUGUCCGGAAUCACUGGGCGUAAAGGGCGCGUAGGCGGUUCGUUAAGUUGCUGGUGAAAUCCCGGGGCUCAACUCCGGGGCUGCCAGUAAGACUGGCGAGCUAGAGCACGGUAGAGGCGGAUGGAAUUCCCGGUGUAGCGGUGGAAUGCGUAGAUAUCGGGAAGAAUACCGGUGGCGAAGGCGUUCCGCUGGGCCGUUGCUGACGCUGAGGCGCGACAGCGUGGGGAGCAAACAGGAUUAGAUACCCUGGUAGUCCACGCCGUAAACGAUGGACACUAGGCGUCGGGGGGAGCGACCCCCUCGGUGCCGUCGCUAACGCAGUAAGUGUCCCGCCUGGGGAGUACGGCCGCAAGGCUG